AGUGAACGCUGGCGGCGUGCUUAAUACAUGCAAGUCGAACGAGAAAGUUCCCUUCGGGGAGCGCGUAAAGUGGCGCACGGGUGAGUAAUACGUAGAUAAUCUUCCUUGCAGCGUGGAAUAACACUGGGAAACUAGUGCUAAUACCGCAUGACCUUGAGAUGGCUGCGGCCGUUUCAAGCAAAGAGAGCCUCUGCUUGCAAGCUCUCACUGUAAGAUGAGUCUGCGUCCCAUUAGGUAGUUGGUAGGGUAAUGGCCUACGAAGCCAAAGAUGGGUAGCUGGUCUGAGAGGAUGAUCAGACACACUGGAACUGAAACACGGUCCAGACUCCUACGGGAGGCAGCAGUAGGGAAUUUUGCGCAAUGGGCGAAAGCCUGACGCAGCGACGUCGCGUGUGGGAUGAAGGGUUUCGGCUCGUAAACCACUGUCAGAUGGGAAGAUGGGACUUACGAUUAAUAAUCGUAAGUUUUGACUGUACCAUCAGAGGAAGCACCGGCUAACUACGUGCCAGCCGCCGCGGUAA
rnacentral:rRNA from 1 species